AAUCAAGUGGAGGACAAGUCUGGUGCCAGCACCCGCGGUAAUUCCAGCUCCACUAGCGUAUAUUAAAGUUGUUGCAGUUAAAAAGCUCGUAGUUGAACCUCUGUCUGGGGCUAGUUUUGGCUUUGGUCAGGCUAGUUCUAGGCAUCCGCCUACAAGACUUAGAGGGCAUUCAGUUGUUCACUAGGAGGAGUAGGCAUUUUACUUUGAAAAAAUUAGAGUGUUUAAGGCAGGCAAUCGCCCGCAUAUAUUAGCAUGGAAUAAUAGAAUAGGACACUUUUCCAUUUCGUUGGUUAUUGGAAUCGUGUAAUGAUUAAUAGGGACAGUUGUGGGCAUUUGUAUUUAAUUGUCAGAGGUGAAAUUCUUGGAUUUAUUAAAGACAAACUAACGCGAAAGCAUUUGCCAAGGAUGUUUUCAUUAAUCAAGAACGAAAGUUAGGGGAUCAAAGACGAUCAGAUACCGUCCUAGUCUUAACUAUAAACUAUUCCGACUCAAUGUUUGACUGGCUUAUAUAACCAGUUGAGCGUUGUAUGAGAAAUCGAAGUCUUUAGAUUCUGGGGGGAGUAUGGUUGCAAAGCUGAAACUUAAAGGAAUUGACGGAAGAGCACAACCAGGAGUGGAUUCUGCGGCUUAAUUUGACUCAACACGGGGAAACUUACCAGGUUGAAACAAUAGUGGGAUUGACAGUUUGAGAGCGCUUUCUUGAUUGGUUGGGUGGUGGUGCAUGGCCGUUCUUAGUUGGUGGAGUGAUUUGUCUGCUUAAUUGCGUUAACGAACGAGACCUUAACCUGCUUACUAGACUGGCGAUCAUCAAUCGUUAGCUCUUCUUAGAGGGACUUUGGUUGUUUUAACUCCAAGGAAGUUUGAGGCAAUAACAGGUCUGUGAUGCCCUUAGAUAUCCUGGGCCGCACGCGUCAUACAAUGACUAGUUCAGAAAGUUUUCUCCUGACCCGAAAGGGGAUGGGUAAUCUUGAUAAUACUAGUCGUGUUAGGGAUCGAUCUUUGCAAUUAUAGAUCUUGAACGAGGAAUUCCUAGUAAGUGCGGUUCAUCAGACCGUACUGAUUACGUCCCUGCUCUUUGUACACACCGCCCGUCGCUUCUACCGAGUGGGUGGUCCGGUGAGAUAAUUGAACUUCGCAGGUAACUGAGAGGAAAGAUUAUCAAACCUAUCCACCU
rnacentral:rRNA from 1 species